rnacentral:rRNA from 1 species
UCCGUAGGUGAACCUGCGGAGGGAUCAUUACCGAGAGUAGGGGGCCCCCCCGGGGCUCCCGCCCUCCCCACCCUUUGUUUGACCAACCCCGUUGCCUCGGGGGCCGGCCCGGCCGCCCCCGGUGGACCAACCGCAAACGCUGCAUCUGUGCGUCGGACGUAUACGAAGCAAAUCGUUUUAAAACUUUCAACAACGGAUCUCUUGGUUCUCGCAUCGAUGAAGAACGCAGCGAAAUGCGAUAAGUAAUGUGAAUUGCAGAAUUCAGUGAAUCAUCGAAUCUUUGAACGCACAUUGCGCCCCUUGGUAUUCCGGGGGGCAUGCCCGUUCGAGCGUCAUUACACCACUCAAGCCUGGCUUGGCCUUGGGCGGCGGGGUCGUCCCCGCGCCCCCAUGUUCGUCGGCUGGACGGUCGGAAUCUCAGCGUUGUGAAUCAACCCGCUCACGAGGACGACCGGACCGCGCCGUAAAACCCCCUCUUCUUCAGGUUGACCUCGGAUCGGGUAGGGAUACCCGCUGAACUUAAGCAUAUCAAUAAGCGGAGGAA